rnacentral:rRNA from 1 species
CUACGGGAGGCAGCAGUGGGGAAUCUUGCACAAUGGGGGAAACCCUGAUGCAGUGACGCCGCGUGAGCGAUGAAGCCCUUCGGGGUGUAAAGCUCUUUCGGCAGGGAAGAUGAUGACGGUACCUGCAGAAGCAGCUGCGGCUAACUACGUGCCAGCAGCCGCGGUAAUACGUAGGCAGCAAGCGUUGUUCGGAGUUACUGGGCGUAAAGGGUGUGUAGGCGGUUCUUUAAGUUUGGUGUGAAAUCUCCCGGCUCAACCGGGAGGGUGCGCCGAAUACUGAGGAGCUAGAGUACGGGAGAGGAGAGUGGAAUUCCUGGUGUAGCGGUGAAAUGCGUAGAUACCAGGAGGAACACCGGUGGUGUAGACGGCUCUCUGGACCGUAACUGACGCUGAGACACGAAAGCGUGGGUAGCAAACAGGAUUAGAAACCCGAGUAGUCCU